rnacentral:rRNA from 1 species
ACUUUACAAUGCGGGAAACCGUGAUAAGGGAACCUCGAGUGCCAGGUUACAAAUCUGGCUGUCGAGAUGCCUAAAAAGCAUUUCAUAGCAAGGGCCGGGCAAGACCGGUGCCAGCCGCCGCGGUAACACCGGCGGCUCGAGUGGUAACCGUUAUUAUUGGGUCUAAAGGGUCUGUAGCCGGCCGGAUAAGUCUCUUGAGAAAUCUGGCAGCUUAACUGUCAGGCUUUCAGGAGAUACUGUCUGGCUCGAGGCCGGGAGAGGUGAGAGGUACUUCAGGGGUAGGGGUGAAAUCUUGUAAUCCUUGAAGGACCACCAGUGGCGAAGGCGUCUCACCAGAACGGACCUGACGGCAAGGGACGAAAGCUAGGGGCACGAACCGG